rnacentral:misc_RNA from 1 species
UCCGGUUUGGCACCGGCAGUCCUCCCAGAGUCCUCAGCUUGACCUGGUAGCAACUGGGAGCGGGGGUUGCGCUCGUUGCGGGACUUAACCCAACAUCUCACGACACGAGCUGACGACGGCCAUGCAGCACCUGUCACUGGGCUCCCGAAGGCACCCCGCUGUUUCCAGCAGGUUCCCAGGAUGUCAAGCCUCGGUAAGGUUCUACGCGUAGCGUCAUAUUAAACCACAUCAUCCUCUGCUUGUGCGGGUCCCCGUCAAUUCCUUUGAGUUUUAGCCUUGCGGCCGUACUUCCCAGGCGGCAUACUUAUCGCGUUAGCUGCGUCUCACAGGGGGUCGAUACCCCAUAAGACUAGUAUGCAUCGUUUACGGCGUGGACUAC